rnacentral:rRNA from 1 species
UGGGGAAUAUUGCACAAUGGACGGAAGUCUGAUGCAGCAACGCCGCGUGCGGGAUGACGGCCUUCGGGUUGUAAACCGCUUUUUCUCAUGACGAAGUUUUUUGACGGUAGUGGGGGAAGAAGCACCGGCUAACUACGAGCCAGCAGCCGCGGUGAUACGUAGGGGGCGAGCGUCGUCCGGAAUUAUUGGGAGUAAAGAGCUUGUAGGCGGUUUGUCGCGUCGAUAGUGCAAACUCAGUGCUUAACGCUGAGCCUGCUGUUGAUACGGGCAGACUAGAGGAAGAUAGGGGAGAAUGGAAUUCCCGGUGGAGCGGUGAAAUGCGCAGAUAUCGGGAGGAACACCGGUGGCGAAGGCGGUUCUCUGGGCCUUUCCUGACGCUGAGAAGCGAAAGCGUGGGGAGCGAACAGG